UUCCAGACUCCUACGGGAGGCAGCAGUGGGGGAUAUUGCACAAUGGAGGAAACUCUGAUGCAGCGACGCCGCGUGAGGGAAGACGGUCUUCGGAUUGUAAACCUCUGUCUUUGGGGAAGAAAAUGACGGUACCCAAAGAGGAAGCUCCGGCUAACUACGUGCCAGCAGCCGCGGUAAUACGUAGGGGGCAAGCGUUAUCCGGAUUUACUGGGUGUAAAGGGAGCGUAGACGGCGGCGCAAGUCCGGAGUGAAAGCCCACGGCCCAACCGUGGGACUGCUCUGGAAACUGUGCGGCUUGAGUGCGGGAGGGGCAGGCGGAAUUCCUAGUGUAGCGGUGAAAUGCGUAGAUAUUAGGAGGAACACCGGCGGCGAAGGCGGCCUGCUGGACCGUAACUGACGUUGAGGCUCGAAAGCGUGGGGAGCAAACAGGAUUAGAUACCCCUGUAGGA
rnacentral:rRNA from 1 species